UGAACUUCUAGGACUUUGGAAGCUCAGUGAGUUCACCAGUCCCUGGAGAACCUCCAUGACGGCAUGCCUGCCUCGAACGGAAAGGCUGCCCAUCUGCUCUUCACCCUCCUCUGCUCUCCAUCAUUCUCCUUUUCCCUUCUGUUUGGGCAGCAUUAAGGAGGGCAUAGACCGGACCGUCCUGGGGAUCCUGGUGUCUUACCAGAUCAAGGUGAAGCUCACAGUGUCAGGCUUUCUGGGAGAGCUCACCUCCAGUGAAGUCGCCACUGAGGUCCCAUUCCGCCUCAUGCACCCUCAGCCUGAGGACCCAGCUAAGGAAAGUUAUCAGGAUGCAAAUUUAGUUUUUGAGGAGUUUGCUCGCCAUAAUCUGAAAGAUGCAGGAGAAGCUGAGGAGGGGAAGAGAGACAAGAAUGACAUUGAUGAGUGAAGAUGUCGGCUCAGGAUGCCGGAAAAUGACCUGUAGUUACCAGUGCAACAAGCAAAGCCCCACAGUUUAGUCCUUUGGAGUUAUGCUGCGUAUGAAAGGAUGAGUCUUCUUCCGAGAAAUAAAGCUUGUUUGUUCUCCCCUGG
rnacentral:sRNA from 1 species